CAAUUUUAUUUACCAUUAUUCUGUAAAAAUUAAUAUGAAACAGGAAAUAUCGAAAGAGCUCGUCGAAACCUUCUUUGGGAACAGUCUCCCUCUCUUAUCUGGCGUCAAACACUUUAACCGACACGAUAUCGUGUCGACGGUAGAUAAAAAAGAGUAAGUAUACACAGAAAGCCGCCAGAGGGGCAGUUAAACUGGAAGUUACAUCUGCUCGACGCAAAAUCGCAUUUUUAGUAUGUACUUUUCAAAAAGUAAACGAAGAAAAAACGCGAUAAAUUACGAAUUCACUCGAGCCGCUUUUUAACGCGACAUAAUUUCCAUAAAAAGGAAAGUGGCAAACGGUAACUAGUAUUUGAAAUAGCGUGGUUACUAAAUCGACUUGGAAUGCAUGCGUAGUGUUAUAUAGUUUGGAGGUUAGGUACGACGUAUCAGAAACUAAAUUUCCGGAAUAUAAAUUAUUCGAGCUUCACUUCCGGAUCCUUGAAGCAGAGUUCAAAGAGUUUCCAUUCCCAAUUAGAAUAUAUAUAUAUAAAAUUUAUAAAUAUAAAUCAAGUAAAAAAAUUGCUAAACUAUAUAAAAGUUUUUAAAUUUUAAACUCUUAAAAUUGUAAUUUUAGAAUAAUAUUAACUGUGAUAUAAUAUUACUGUUGAUAAAAUCGAUCAUUCGAACGAAAUUUUGUUUGAAUUAUUAACUGAAAGUUAUUAUUCUCUAUAAGCAAACAUAUUCCAAGCGUUACACAAGUCACCGAACAUUUGUGUUUCGAGUAUUGUCAACGAAGGUUUAGUGUGUCGUAUAACUUCCUUCAACGGUGUACAAAAUUAAUCAAAUAUUAACGUUCAAUUACUAUCUUAUUAUUUAAAAUUCCAUUUGUUUCUCUAAUUAAUUCAUCAAAGGAAAUUAAGACGACGAAUAUUUCGACCGUGAAAAAAGCAAAUCUUAAUAAACUUUGUAUAUUGAAAAGUAACUAGAUUCGUGUUAAAACGGGAUUUUUUUAAAAAGGAAAGAAAAAUGAAGAUUAAAAAUAUAGCCAAAGUGUAUACUUGAGUGAUUAAGGAAAGCCAUUUUCCACGUGUGGUGGAUCGAAUUAACUACCACGGUUUUUUUAUCGAUAUUGCUGCAAAACGACAUUAAUUACAUAAACGAGGAGGUAAACUUGCACGAGUCAAGCUUCCGGUCGCACGAUCCUGCUUUAAUGAGGGCUCAAGACGUCGAAGAAAAAAAUGAAACACUGUAAUCCUAUUUCGCCUGGAAAACGUCAUCAUUACGGGUAUCGUGUCACGACGAAAGUGUUAAAGUGGAACGUUAAGUACUUAUUCGCAAGGGAACAGAUGGAAAGGUAUGUUGCAAAAUGUGUGUAUACACGCAAAAACAAUAAAUGAUAGCAUGGCAACUUCAGUUAAUCUCCUUGGGAUACGUUUUUGUUUACAAGAGAAUGUUUUUCUCUUUCUUCAAGUUGUUUUUCAUUCUAACUAAUUGGAGGUUGCAUUAUAGUACUAUAAAUAUGACCAGAAAAAAUGUAAUUAUGCUUUGUAAAUUUAUCAGAUUGCAGUAUCCGCAAGAAAAUCACGGCAUCUCAAGGGGUGUCGCGUCCCCCAUGAAGAAGAGAACUCAAAGUAAAAUGCUAAAAAACUCAACGAAGCGCCGUGGCCAAGUUUAGUCAAGAAAGUUCUAUACUUGACCUUAAUGGCGUCAGUCCAAUGCCAUAAACUUCGAGGUGGUCUUUAACGUUUUCUCUUUUCUCGUUACGUGUAUUCAUAUCCAUAUCCAUGAGUUUUUCCAGAAAUAUUCGAAGCCAAAUCGAACGUAUUUUGGGAAAUUGAUUUCACGGAAAAAAACACAUUUACAAAAGGGACAUACAAAACUUCAAGUUACGUUUGUGUUGCAUUGAAUUUCGGAUUUGCUGCAACAUUAGAACUCCAUUUUACCAUCGUAAAGACGUGCCGUUGAAAGGAAAAAAAUUCAAAGAGAGGACAUUGUCGAAGAAUUUCAAUGGAGACAAAAAAACUGCACUUUUAAA
rnacentral:lncRNA from 1 species